rnacentral:rRNA from 1 species
UACGGAGGGUGCAAGCGUUAUCCGGAUUUACUGGGUUUAAAGGGUGCGUAGGUGGGCUUUUAAGUCAGUGGUGAAAUCUCCGGGCUUAACUCGGAAACUGCCAUUGAUACUAUUAGUCUUGAAUAUCCUGGAGGUAAGCGGAAUAUGUCAUGUAGCGGUGAAAUGCUUAGAUAUGACAUAGAACACCCAUUGCGAAGGCAGCUUACUACGGGAUUAUUGACACUGAGGCACGAAAGCGUGGGGAUCAAACAGG